rfam:Microvirga sp. V5/3M, complete genome.
UCCGGCGUGGCGCAGCGGUAGCGCAGCGGACUGUUAAUCCGUUGGUCGUAGGUUCGAAUCCUACCGCCGGAG